rnacentral:rRNA from 8 species
UCUAAAUGAAUCAAAACUUUCAACAACGGAUCUCUUGGUUCUGGCAUCGAUGAAGAACGCAGCGAAAUGCGAUAAGUAAUGUGAAUUGCAGAAUUCAGUGAAUCAUCGAAUCUUUGAACGCACAUUGCGCCCUCUGGUAUUCCAGAGGGCAUGCCUGUUCGAGCGUCAUUUCAACCCUCAA